rnacentral:rRNA from 1 species
CAGUCGAACGAAGAUUUAAGAAUGAGAGCUUCGGCAGGAAUUUUUCUUAUCUUAGUGGCGGACGGGUGAGUAACGUGUGGGCAACCUGCCCUGCACUGGGGAAUAAUCAUUGGAAACGAUGACUAAUACCGCAUACGGUUCCUGGGAGGCAUCUUCCGGGAAAGAAAGGAUUUAUUCGGUGCAGGAUGGGCCCGCAUCUGAUUAGCUAGUUGGUGAGAUAACAGCCCACCAAGGCGACGAUCAGUAGCCGACCUGAGAGGGUGACCGGCCACAUUGGGACUGAGACACGGCCCAAACUCCUACGGGAGGCAGCAGUGGGGAAUAUUGCACAAUGGGCGAAAGCCUGAUGCAGCAACGCCGCGUGAAGGAAGAAGGGUUUCGGCUCGUAAACUUCUAUCAACAGGUACGAAAGAAAUGACGGUACCUGAAUAAGAAGCCCCGGCUAACUACGUGCCAGCAGCCGCGGUAAUACGUAGGGGGCAAGCGUUAUCCGGAAUUACUGGGUGUAAAGGGUGAGUAGGCGGCAUGGUAAGCCAGAUGUGAAAGCCUUGGGCUUAACCCGAGGAUUGCAUUUGGAACUAUCAAGCUAGAGUACAGGAGAGGAAAGCGG